rnacentral:tRNA from 1 species
GCCCAGUUAGUUCAAUGGAUAGAACACGUGGCUACGGACCACGAGAUAGGGGUUCGAAUCCUCUACUGGGUACUA